rnacentral:rRNA from 1 species
AGAGUUUGAUCCUGGCUCAGAUUGAACGCUGGCGGCAUGCCUUACACAUGCAAGUCGAACGGCAGCACGGGGGCAACCCUGGUGGCGAGUGGCGAACGGGUGAGUAAUACAUCGGAACGUGUCCUUUCGUGGGGGAUAACCAGUCGAAAGACUGGCUAAUACCGCAUGAGAUCGUAAGAUGAAAGCGAGGGACCGCAAGGCCUCGCGCGAUUGGAGCGGCCGAUGUCGGAUUAGCUAGUUGGCGGGGUAAAAGCCCACCAAGGCGACGAUCCGUAGCUGGUUUGAGAGAACGACCAGCCACACUGGGACUGAGACACGGCCCAGACUCCUACGGGAGGCAGCAGUGGGGAAUUUUGGACAAUGGGCGCAAGCCUGAUCCAGCCAUGCCGCGUGUGUGAAGAAGGCCUUCGGGUUGUAAAGCACUUUCGGCCGGAACGAAAUCGCCUCCGUUAAUAGCGGGGGUGGAUGACGGUACCGGAAGAAGAAGCACCGGCUAACUACGUGCCAGCAGCCGCGGUAAUACGUAGGGUGCGAGCGUUAAUCGGAAUUACUGGGCGUAAAGGGUGCGCAGGCGGCCCCGCAAGUCAGGCGUGAAAUCCCCGGGCUUAACCUGGGAAUGGCGCUUGAAACUACGGGGCUGGAGUAUGGCAGAGGGAGGUGGAAUUCCACGUGUAGCGGUGAAAUGCGUA